rnacentral:rRNA from 1 species
GGCUGAAAUUCGCCUUCAUGAAGCCGGAAUUGCUAGUAAUGGCAGGUCAGCAUACUGCCGUGAAUACGUUCCCGGGCCUUGUACACACCGCCCGUCACACCAUGAGAGUUGGGGAUACCCGAAGCCUGUGAGCUAACUUUAUAAGGAGCAGCAGUCGAAGGUAGAAUCAAUGAUUGGGGUGAAGUCGUAACAAGGUACC